rnacentral:rRNA from 1 species
UACAGAGGUCUCAACCGUUGUUCGGAUUCAUUGGGCGUAAAGGGGUGCGUAGGCGGUCGCGCAAGUCGGAUGUGAAAUCUCAGGGCUCAACCCUGAAACUGCAUUCGAUACUGCGUGGCUAGAGUGCUGGAGAGGAGACUGGAAUUUACGGUGUAGCAGUGAAAUGCGUAGAUAUCGUAAGGAAGACCAGUGGCGAAGGCGAGUCUCUGGACAGCAACUGACGCUGAGGCACGAAGGCCAGGGGAGCAAACGGG